rnacentral:rRNA from 1 species
GAUGAACGCUGGCGGCGUGCCUAAUACAUGCAAGUCGAGCGAACAGACGAGGAGCUUGCUCCUCUGACGUUAGCGGCGGACGGGUGAGUAACACGUGGAUAACCUACCUAUAAGACUGGGAUAACUUCGGGAAACCGGAGCUAAUACCGGAUAAUAUAUUGAACCGCGUGGUUCAAUAGUGAAAGACGGUUUUGCUGUCACUUAUAGAUGGAUCCGCGCCGCAUUAGCUAGUUGGUAAGGUAACGGCUUACCAAGGCAACGAUGCGUAGCCGACCUGAGAAGGUGAUCGGCCACACUGGAACUGAGACACGGUCCAGACUCCUACGGGAGGCAGCAGUAGGGAAUCUUCCGCAAUGGGCGAAAGCCUGACGGAGCAACGCCGCGUGAGUGAUGAAGGUCUUCGGAUCGUAAAACUCUGUUAUUAGGGAAGAACAAAUGUGUAAGUAACUAUGCACGUCUUGACGGUACCUAAUCAGAAAGCCACGGCUAACUACGUG